UACAGAGGGGGCAAGCGUUGUUCGGAAUUACUGGGCGUAAAGGGCGCGUAGGCGGCCUGUUAAGUCGAACGUGAAAUCCCCGGGCUCAACCCGGGAACUGCGUCCGAUACUGGCAGGCUUGAAUCCGGGAGAGGGAUGCGGAAUUCCAGGUGUAGCGGUGAAAUGCGUAGAUAUCUGGAGGAACACCGAUGGCGAAGGCAGAUCUCUGGGCCGUAACUGACGCUGAGGAGCGAAAGCAUGGGGAGCGAACAGG
rnacentral:rRNA from 1 species